AUAUAAUUAUAAUAGGGUAUAAUUAUAAAGUUACGCUCGUUAAGAAUAUUUGCAAUGUUAAAUACCAAGAUCUUUAUAGCUAUUAGGACAGAAAAGUAAUUUAUCAUUGAGAUAUUAUGCAGCGAUACAAGAAACAUAAUCAUAUAUAUUGGCAUUUAUAUGCGCGAUUUGAUAAAUCCAGUCUCGGUUAUAGACGCGGUUCGGGCCGCGAUGGAACGUAAAGAGCAAAUUGUGUAAUUUAUUGGUGGAUUGUGAGACGGCGCGAUCCUGCAGUCAUUUUUGGACUAUCGUAUAAAAUUCCAAUAUGCGAUACCAUUCCGUUUUAUUGAAUAAAACGGAUGGAAAGGUGAGAAGUUAUAUAUGCGCGUGGGAAGGAAACGUAACAUUAUUUCUUUGCAGUCAAUCGAAUGAAAUAUGAAUCAACGAGCAUCCCUGGGGAGAUAAACACAGUUAAGCUUCUUAAAUUUUUUAUCUCCUAAAAAGCGGUAAUGAUAUUUCUUACGUAAAAUGGACAGUGAUAGAGAAGUUCCUUUCUCAAAGUGUGAUUACAAUUUGAUUGCUUUAAACGGUGAAUUAAAAAGAUUUUCCGCAAACUUUAAAACGCGUCUUUCUUGCACAAGAAUAUCUUAUCACAAAAAUAUUAUAUAAUUAAAUAUUAUAUAUUUUUUAUUUAAAUAAUUUUUUUUUAGCAUACAUUUCUCCUAAAUUAAUUUUAAUAUAUAACGAAAAUGUUUCUGAAAGAUUAAUUUGGACCAUUCCAUGAUGUAAAUCUGGAAUAUAAAAUCGAUAUCGUACUUUUAUCUUUACAGUGAAUGAUUUCAAGCUAUUAUAAGUGAUUUGAAACAUUCAUGAAUGUGACCAUUACGCUAGUUUGAAUGGACAAGUAAACACGAUUUUAUGCGAUACGAACAUUUUAACGUGCGUGCCGAUAUACACCGACAUUCGAAAUAUUGAUACUCGUCGAGAGAGCCAUUACAAAUUUUAGAAGACCGAGUAAAAUUACAAUCAAGUGGCAAGCGUGAAUCGCAAAAGUCAUUAUUACAUAUAAUAUACUUUUAGAUUUUUUUAAAUAUAUUUAAAUUAUAUCAGUGCUAUAUAUAUUUUUUAAAAACCUUUUUAGUUAAUAUAUUAUAACAACAGUUUCAUAUUAAUACUCAAAACACUACCGCAAUAAUUGUAGUGAUAAAUCUCUCGCGAAGUGUGAUAGAAACUGCAGAACUAUAGAAAAUAUGUUUGAAAUUGUGGAAAAAAGUGGUUGACUUUAUCGUAGCACAGUUAUCAACUAAAGCGACAUUAGGAAAUUAAUGAGCAGUGAACAAAACCUAUAUUCAUCAGUGCAGUUAUGUGACAAGGGUUUGAUAAAGUGACAUUUGAAAAUGAUGUGUAACGUCCGGUGUAGGAUACUUUCGCCGAUAUGAGCGCUUGAGUCGACGUGGGGUGGAAUGACGAAAGAUCGACGAGCACACGAGCGCGACAAGAAAAUGUCGAUUCAAGAACGCAAUCUAUCCGAUAACCUGGUUUCCACCGAAUAUUUUGGUGUUUUAGUGGUCGAUGACGGCUCGCCGAUCGUUACCGACCUUCCCCGGUUCUCCACCGUCACUUCCGAAAUUGCCAACGUCACCACGCCAGUCAUUUCACAAUCGUCGGUUCAAGACAGCCUCCUGGAGAAUCUCAUUAUACCGUUAUACGGUACAAUCUUCUUCCUUUCCAUCGUCGGGAAUUCUUUGGUGCUCAUCACCCUGGCGAGGAACAAACGGAUGCGGACAGUGACAAAUGUCUAUCUGCUAAACUUGGUAAGUCCUUGUUGUAAUCCACUUGACUUCUCUCUCUCUCUCUUUCUCUUUUUCUCUCUCUUUCUGUAAAAUGAAGAAUACAGAAAUCUUCCAUAAAUGUUAGACUAGCGCAUCUAGUUACAAGGAGAGGAUAAAAAGACUUUAAUUAUAAAAUUUUCAAUUUUGAACUUUAGUAUUUACCAUCAACGCAAAUUAAUUUUGAGAGCGCUUUAUGUUUACUUAACAUAAAUAAUAAUUAUUUUUCCAAUUUACUUUAAAUAAAAUGUUUUUACAGCAUACUGUUAUAUAUAUUUCUUAUAUAAAAUUAAUUACGCACACAAUCUUAAAUAAUACUAUGACGCAGAUAGUGCAGUGAUGCAUAUAAUCAUUUUCCUUUCCCGAAAAGGAAUAUGAACCCAACUGUUUAUUCAUGAAUAUGCAAUUCUAUCGUCGUUUAAAAUUCACAUGAUGACAUGCUUUGUUAUUGAUGUGGAAAACAAUGAAGAAAUUGUUUAUCGAAGAGUUCACCAUCAGCGAUUGAUUUAGUGCCCAUAUAUUGCAAACUUUAUGUCCAGAAAUAUUGUUGACAGCAACAGUUCGAUAACAUUGAAUUGUUUUGUAAUCGAUAUUAAUUGAAUCGAAUCGAGCUAAAUAGUUUUCUGGCGUGCUCGCCCGAAAUUGAAAUUUUUGUGAAAAUUGUUUCGAUUUACUUUAUGCUGAGUUUAUCAUUCAUGGCAAAACAAUGUUAAUUAAUUUCUUAUACUAGCACAGUAAUUAGAUUUUAUAUGAACAUAGAUGUGCUAUUCUUUAAUUUUACAAAUGAUUUUAUUAUGGAUUAUCUGUAUCUAUAUCGGUUAUCUCAAAUGCUAUAUUAUAAAUGUUGCUGGUUUAAUUUUUAAUUCAGAAAUACUGUGUGUGUGUGUAUAUAUACACGUGUUGCAAUACUAUAGCGCAAAAAAUAAAACAAGAGAAUACGGCGUCAAAAAAUAAUUAAAUUUUUUCGGAUCGCAAUUUUUCAUUUGACAAUGAUUUGCGCGGAUAAUACAUUAUAUAAAAAUAAUGAACAAAGUGUAUUUUAUCUAUAGAUCCAACUGAACAAUUUUUCAAAUCAAAAAUGAGAUAAAAUAUGAGAUAAAAUAUAUCGUUGCGUGUUCCGUUGCAUGCACGAAAUACUUCUUGCAAUUUUUACGAUGUCUCGUGCAGGUUUCUAUGCGAACGAAAAUAUCCGGUACGGUUCGCGCAUGGGUUA